rnacentral:rRNA from 1 species
AGUGAGCGGCGGACGGGUGAGUAACACGUGGGCAACCUGCCCUGGAGCGGGGGAUAACAUCUGGAAACAGGUGCUAAUACCGCAUAACAACGAAAACCACAUGGUUUUCGUUUCAAAGAUGGUUUCGGCUAUCACUUCAGGAUGGGCCCGCGGUGCAUUAGCUAGUUGGUAAGGUAACGGCUUACCAAGGCAACGAUGCAUAGCCGAGUUGAGAGACUGAUCGGCCACAAUGGAACUGAGACACGGUCCAUACUCCUACGGGAGGCAGCAGUAGGGAAUCUUCCACAAUGGGCGCAAGCCUGAUGGAGCAACACCGCGUGAGUGAAGAAGGGUUUCGGCUCGUAAAGCUCUGUUGUUGGAGAAGAACGUGCGUGAGAGUAACUGUUCACGCAGUGACGGUAUCCAACCAGAAAGUCACGGCUAACUACGUGCCAGCAGCCGCGGUAAUACGUAGGUGGCAAGCGUUAUCCGGAUUUAUUGGGCGUAAAGCGAGCGCAGGCGGUUGCUUAGGUCUGAUGUGAAAGUCUUCGGCUUAACCGAAGAAGGGCAUCGGAAACCGGGCGACUUGAGUGCAGAAGAGGACAGUGGAACUCCAUGUGUAGCGG